rnacentral:rRNA from 1 species
UACAGAGGGUGCGAGCGUUGUUCGGAAUUACUGGGCGUAAAGCGCGCGCAGGCGGUCUUGUAAGCCAGAUGUGAAAGCCCCGGGCUCAACCUGGGAACUGCAUUUGGGACUGCAAGGCUGGAGUACGGCAGAGGGAGGUGGAAUUCCACGUGUAGCAGUGAAAUGCGUAGAGAUGUGGAGGAACACCGAUGGCGAAGGCAGCCUCCUGGGCUAGUACUGACGCUCAUGCACGAAAGCGUGGGGAGCAAACAGG